CCUACGGGUGGCUGCAGUGAGGAAUAUUGGUCAAUGGGCGCGAGCCUGAACCAGCCAAGCCGCGUGAGGGAAGACGGUCCUAUGGAUUGUAAACCCCUUUUGUCGGGGAGCAAAAGACGCCACGCGUGGCGUUGCGAGAGUACCCGAAGAAAACGCAUCGGCUAACUCCGUGCCAGCAGCCGCGGUAAUACGGGGGAUGCGAGCGUUAUCCGGUUUUAUUGGGUUUAAGGGGUGCGCAGGCGGAAGAUCAAGUCAGCGGUAAAGGUGAGAGGCCCAACCUCUUCGUGCCGUUGAAACUGGUUUGCUGGAGUGAGCGAGAGGUAUGCGGAAUGCGUGGUGUAGCGGUGAAAUGCGUAGAUAUCACGCAGAACUCCGAUUGCGAAGGCAGCAUACCGGCGCUCAACUGACGCUCAUGCACGAAAGUGUGGGUAGCGAACAGGAUUAGAUACCCUUGUAGUC
rnacentral:rRNA from 1 species